rnacentral:rRNA from 1 species
UGAGUAAUGUCUGGGAAACUGCCUGAUGGAGGGGGAGUAACUACUGGAAACGGUAGCUAAUACCGCAUAACGUCGCAAGACCAAAGAGGGGGACCUUCGGGCCUCUUGCCAUCAGAUGUGCCCAGAUGGGAUUAGCUAGUAGGUGGGGUAACGGCUCACCUAGGUGACGAUCCCUAGCUGGUCUGAGAGGAUGACCAGCCACACUGGAACUGAGACACGGUCCAGACUCCUACGGGAGGCAGCAUG